rnacentral:rRNA from 1 species
CAGCAGCCACGGUAAUACGUAGGUGGCAAGCGUUGUCCGGAAUUAUUGGGCGUAAAGGGCUCGCAGGCGGUUUCUUAAGUCUGAUGUGAAAGCCCCCGGCUCAACCGGGGAGGGUCAUUGGAAACUGGGAAACUUGAGUGCAGGAGAGGAGAGUGGAAUUCCACGUGUAGCGGUGAAAUGCGUAGAGGUGUGGAGGAACACCAGUGGCGAAGGCGACUCUCUGGUCUGUAACUGACGCUGAGGAGCGAAAGCGUGGGGAGCGAACAGGAUUAGAUACCCGUGUAGUCCCUGUCUCUUAUAC